ACUGACUGGCUAUAUAUUUUCUAUCAGAAGGGUGCCACUUCCCUAGUCUCUGGUGCUCCCUCAUCUAUUCAUGGCUGGAAGAGCCGUUUCUUUUUUAUUUUUUGUACUUCGAUAUAUGACUUGGAGCUUUCAAAUUGGGGUCGGAUCGAAGCCUUAUCUUUGAAGCCCAUAGAGUUAAGUGUCGAGGAAAAGAGAGGACUUAGGGAUCUCCUGGAUUAUAAUACUCCUCAUCUG
rnacentral:lncRNA from 1 species